rnacentral:rRNA from 1 species
GGGUCCGGACACACUGAGGAUUGACAGGCAAUAUUAAUACGUGUUUCGGCGCGUAUUAUGUUAAAUAUGCUAGUCCUUUCAUGAUUAUGUGAUAGGUGGUGCAUGGCCGUUCUUAGUUCGUGGAGUGAUCUGUCUGCUUAAUUGCGUUUCACUAAGAAUCUAUCAAUACGUGCGUUGCGGCACUUUGACCCCUCUCUGAGCGCGCGUCUUAGUUGCCUAGCUCGCACAAUUAGGUUCUGAAAGCAACGAACGUGACCGCAACCUCUUGUUGCCUUUAUACCAAACAUUUUUGCUGUUCUCAGCAUUAAUGCAAAAAGGCUUUUUAAACUAGAGGGACCGCUGUUACUUUCUUAAACCAGAGGAAGGUUGCGGCAAUAACAGGUCUGUGAUGCCCUUAGAUGUUCCGGGCUGCACACGUGCUACAAUGAUUGUUGCAGUGAGCAUCUCAUUUUUACACACCGCAUGCGCGAGUCCGUUUAUUCACUUCGGUGUUUUAAACGUGUAUUUCUGCGCGCGGUAAAGCCUGCUUCGAGAGUAAGUGGGU